UAGGUUUCUGAGGUUGAAAGUUUCUGGUCC
rnacentral:piRNA from 1 species